GAUGAACUUUAAUGGUUGUGAUCCCCCUUGUGUUGAUCUCAAACUCAAUCUAUGCAAAUAGCUUGGCGAACUAUAAAGCUCUAUCUCUCUAACGUCGUGGGACAGCGGGGCCUCUCUCUCAAACAAAAACCCAAAUCUCUCUCUAGCGUCAUAUGGGGCAGCGGGGCCCCUCUCUCUUAAAAAAACCCAAAUCUCUCGCUCUUCUGCUGCCCUCUCUGUCUCUCUCUCUCAUCUCAGUUUCAAGCCUACCCUCUCUCUCUCUCACGCGUUUGUGCUCUCUACAGCCUGGUCUUACACUCUCUCCCUAAGCAUAGAAGACGAAGCAAGACGAGGAGAAAAAGUUGGCAUACAGACGCCUCCGUAGGUGUAGAGUGCGCAAUAUACUUUUAAUUCCAGCUGAAGUGUGCAUUCAAAUGUUAGAAAUUGCAACACCAUCAAUGUUGGUAGAACCAAAAAUUUCUAUACCAGUUUGUGGUUCUCAGAAGAUGCAUAUUCAGGAGCAGUGGAUCUUCCUGGGUUCCAUGUUUAUGUUGGAAGCGGGGGCGAGAGAUUACUUCCUGAAUGGUACAGGAAAGGUUGUCACUUCUUGAUUUGCUUUUAGCUUUCCAUUUUGUUGAUGUUAAAUUUGAAUUGAGAGUCUUAUAGAACCCCAUGACUGUAACAAACAAUUAUGUGAGUUACUGAACUCCGUGGAUGCCCUAAUAUUUUAUUUCCAAUGGGCUCCUGCGGGCAUAAAACUCAUUCUUGGUACUGAGGUAACCAAAGUAAAUACAGCCAAGAAAACUCCUACAACAACAGCUCAAGUUGUCUUCAAAUAUGAGACUUGGAAAAGAGGUAGGUGCAAAUAAGAAUGGAAAAGCUGUGGUUGUUGGUGGAGUAUACAUCGGUCUUGAGCUAGGAGUUGUGCUGGAUGUGUGCAACAUUUAAUGUUGUUCUUAUGUGUAGCCAAUGGCUGCUUAUUUGUACUUGGUUUUUUUAACUUUUGUACUCCUUAUGAGGAGCAUUUGAUAGUCCUACAAGAAGGAAUACAAGUUCAUGUAAUGGCUUGGGUGUAUUUUUAUUCAUUAAAUAGAAUUAAGCUAAACUUUGAUGAUUA